rnacentral:lncRNA from 1 species
UUGUUGUAAUAAGCCAUUGCAUUAAUUAAAGAGUUUAAAAGAAUUGAAACAUUUAAACUAGAUUGCUAAAUUAAACUAAAUAGAAAUUUGUAAAUUGUGUAAAAUAUUGUCAUUUUGUAGUGACGAAGAGUGAUCGACCCGGACCCGUUGUCAUUCAACUUCUCACCGGAUGUGCUGAAGGGGUCUUCUUGAAUCUGGUUGGAAUGAAUAGGGUUUCUAUGUCCUUCAGUAUUGCACCGCUUACAACCUCGAUCGGCCUUGCUCUUGCCUCCUUCCACUGCGCAUUCCUUUUCCUCCAAAUAUGCCAAGUAAAUAUCGCCAACGUCGUCCAAUGUAACCUCCCAUGCCAGUACGGGGAAUGCUUUGAGAAUUUUUGAAUAGCUUCGAUAACAUCUUCUAUCCUCAAAUCGCUUGGCAGAGUUCAUCGUCCUUCAAUCUUCUCUAGUGCCCGGUCGGUGUUCUUCAUGAAUGAAUUUGAUAGACGGGCUCUGGAGGAAAGGGAUAUUCUGAAUGACACCCGCGCACAGCUGGAGCAGGAGACGGAGGAACUGGAUGAGACAGAGUCCGGAGGCAGCAACAUUGGGGGCGGACGUCGAUCCGGUCAGGAGGAAGAUGCUAUCCUCUCGCCUAAAAGGAUUUCAGCUUCAUUAAAUUGCCGUUAAGAGUAGUUGGUUCUGUUAUGCUAUGUUGCAGGAACUAUUUUAUUAUUGUAUGUCCAAGUACGUGAAAGCCAUAUAAAAGGCAAACCAUUAGUUUUUAUAAUUAAUUAAUGAAUUAAGUUACAACAAAAACGGAAAUCGGGUUGAAGCAACCCUAACUCCAGUCUACUGUUUUAUUGCUGCCGAUCUCCCCCUGUUUCCAAUCGAUCUCCCCAAGUACCGUCUAUCAUUGGUGCUUUCAACACCUCCUGCCUGUCGGGAUUUGAUCAGGAUUCUGCCUGCCGCGAUUUGAUCAGGAUCUGCCCAUCAUCUGAAGAUCUUCAGAAGAUCAAGAUUUGCAAAAAAAAGCAUAUCAAAAGCAUGUUCUUUGUUUAAGAGAUCCUAAACAGGAACGUAUAUAUUCCAUUAAACUCAAUAUCAUUGCUAUUAUUGAAUAAAAUAAAUUUCAGGACACUUAUUACAUCUGAGGAACAUCUGAAGAAGGUUUUGUAGACCUAUAAAAUUUACAAAAAAAUUUCGCCAAAAGUAGGUUCUCUACUUAAGAGAUCCGGAUCAGGGACGUAUCUAAUCAUCCCUAUCUUAUUUGUUCUUCUAUUAAGUGACACAGUUAUAUUUCAAAUUCAUCAUCAUCAUCUGAUAAAUGGCUGAUCCCAUGGAUAUCCAACUAAAAAGACUCCAAAUUAAACAGGACACUGAAGCUGAGAGACUGAGAAACAUGGAAAUGAUAAGUAAUCCAGAGAAUCAAAUUCAGCAAAAGCAAGAAAUGAAGUACAAAUCUAUCAACAGUAUUCCCUAUACCAACAGUAGAUGAGAUACUAGCUGAACUAAAGGGGGCUAAAAUAUUUUCAAAGCUAGAUUUGAGAUCUGGCUAUCAUCAGAUAUUAAUAAACCCUAGUGAUGUGGAGAAAAAAGCUUUUAGAACCCACCAGGGUCACUAUGAGUUUCUAGUGAUGCCCUUUGGCCUCACCAAUACCUCAGCAACCUUCCAAGUUACUAUGAAUAGAAUAUUUUCACCACUAUUAAGGAAGUUUGUGCUGGUUUUCUUUGAUGAUAUUCUAGUUUUCAGUUCUUCUAGAGAGGACCAUGUUAAUCAUCUGAAAACUGUUUUAAUGACACUUAGGGAGAAUCAACUAUUUGCCAAGCAGUCCAAGUGCUUAUUUUUUUAGAGUGAACUGCAGUUCUUGGGACACAAUAUCAGAGCAGAUGGUAAAUCCUGAUCCAGAGAAGGUAUCUUCAAUUCUGAAUUGGCCAACUCCAAAGAAUGUUAAAGCUUUGAGAGGAUUUAUGGGUCUUUCAGGGUAUUACAAAAAGUUUGUUAAAAAUUAUUCCCACCUAGCUGCCCCUAUGACAGACUUACUAAAAAAAGAUCAAUUUGCAUGGAAUGACCUGGCAGAAAAGGGUUUUUUUAUCUCUGAAAGAAGCCAUAGUCUCAGCCCCAGUAUUGCAUCAUCCAGAUUUUGAAAAUCCAUUUGCUAUAGAGACUGAUGCUUACUUAAAUGGAGUUGGGGCAGUAUUAAGUCAGGAGGGUCACCCUAUUGCAUUUUUUAGUUCAAGAAUAUCAGGUAGAAUGCUAUUAGCAUCUACUUAUUCAAAAGAAAUGCUAGCUAUCACUCAAGCUAUUUCUAAGUGGAGGCAUUAUAUAUUGGGCCAUCAUUUUGUAAUCCAUACAGACCACCAAAGCAUAAAGAACAUGGUGAGCCAGAUAAUACAAACCCUUGACCAACAGAAGUUUCUAUGCCAAUUGUUGGGAUUUGAUUAUUCUAUUAAAUACAGGCCAGGAAAAGAAAAUAAAGCAGCAGAUGGUUUGUCAAAACAGUUUGAGGGAGAUGAUUCUAAGGGAGAAUUACAGGCAGGAUCAGUGUUAAGUCUGUGUGCCCUGGUUAGUAGAUUAAUUGACGGAGUGAAAGAGGAACAAAACUCAGAUACAAAGCUAUUAAAAAUAAAAGAGAGCAUCCAGAAAGGUACUGAAAGCAAUACACAGUUGAUAUUGAGAGAAGGAUUACUUCUCAUGAACAAUAGAUAUGUGGUAUCACCCACCUCAGUCUUAAUUAGUGACAUUCUUAGAGAAUAUCAUGACAGCAUCAUUGGUGGUCAUUCAGGGGUGGAAAGAACAAUUAGAAGAAUUAAAUUAAUUUUCUGGUGGAAGGGAAUGUCAAAAGAAAUAAAAAAAUAUGUAGAGGAUUGUGUGGUGUGUCAAAGAAUGAAAACAUAUAUUAAAAGACCACAAGGUCUCUUCCUACACCUGAAGCAGUAUGGCAGGAUAUCUCAACAGAUUUUAUAACCAAUCUACCAGUGGUCAAGGAUAAAUAAGUUAUUAUAAUUGUAGUGGACAGACUAUUUAAAUUCUGCCACUUGGGAAGUUUACCAGCUGAUUUCAACUCUAAGAUGGUGGCAACCUUCUUUGUGCAAGAAGUAAUAAGAUUGCAUGGUGUACCAACAUCAAUCAUUUCUGAGAGGGACAAGGUUUUCACUAGUAGUUUUUGGAGAGAAAUUAAUAGACUAAGUGGAACAACUCUGAAGUUAUCCUCUGCAUACCACCAGAGACUGAGGUAGUAAAUAGAGGUAUUGAAAUAUUCUUAAGGUGUUUAGCUUAUGAACAACCAAAAAAAUGGUUAACCCUACUCCCUUGGGCAGAGUUAUGGCACAACUCCACAUUUAAUGUAUCAAUAGAGAUGACCCCAUUUAAAGCUCUAUAUGGCAGGGAGGCUAACACCUUUGUGGAAGCAGUUAAAGGAAGUUCAACUAAUAUUGAGACUGAAGAGGAAUUGCUUAGAAGGCAGGAAAUUCUAGAAAUAGUUAAAAUUAAUAUGGGCAGAGCAAAAGAGAGAAUGAAGAAGCAAGUUGAUCUUCAUAGAAGGGAAAUGGAGUUCGAAAUUGGGGAUUGGGUAUUUGUUAAACUGAAGCUUUACAGACAGAUACCUAUUGCUAAAAAACUACAUCACAAACUCUCAGCAAGAUAUUAUAGGCCUUAUGAAAUUUUAAAAAAUAUCAGUGAGGUGGCAUACAAAAUCAAAUUACCAAACAAUAGCCUAAUUCAUGAUGUUUUUCAUGUCAGCUUGAAGAAAUAUAGAGGAAUAUUACCACCCGUGGAAAUUGGGUGCUUAACCAAAGUUACAAUUGGAAGUCAGCCGGUAAUUUAUCCUGAGGCGGUACUGGAAAAGAGGGCUUUACUGGGAAAGGGGAAUCUGGUGGAGCAAGCGUCUAUCAGAAUUCCAGAGCUUUCGAUUCUAUCUACAAUUUAGGUAUAUGUGCUCCGGCGUUUCCUCAACUUCUUCACACAGAGUGCACUCUGAUGGGCAUUAGUAGCGUCAAGCUCUGAGGCUGUUGAAGGUAUGUAAUCUGUUCCACUUUAAACUCCACAAAAGUAUACUCAUUUUUUAUUUUAUCCAAUUGACCAAAAUAGAUUGGUCAUUUGAUCAAAUUGUGGUGGUUUUUGUGGAUUUGAUCCAUCUUAAAAUGAAAAAGAAUUAUUGUGAAAGUUCGGAAGUAAUAACAAUUAUAGAAAUUAAACAGGGGCAUAAAUAAAAUAUUCCCUUAGCCGUGAGACUGGAUGGAUAGAGACGAUAGAAGAUCAGAAGUGCUUUAACAAAGGAUAAGCUUUCCUUUCUUCCUUUUUCUCCACUCUUAUCAAAUCCAUGGCAACCGCUACCUGUAAUUUCCCGCGUCCCUUUUUCCCCCAAACACGUAGUAUCUCCACCACGAUCACUCCAGCGACUCGUCUCAGCUUUUCCAAUCCAACCGAUCUCCGCUCCUUUCUCCCCUCCAUCUCGAUCCAAGCACCGUCUGGUCUUUCAAAUGUGGUGUUCUGUAGGUCGUCAGGUUACAACGUGCAGAUCGUUGUCGGUGAGGAUGAGCCUGAAGAGGUUCUGAUGAGGCGGUUCCGGAGGGAAGUGUCUAGAGCUGGGAUUAUUCCAGAAUGCAGGAGAAGGAAACACUUUGAGAACAAACAGGAGGCCAAGAAACGGAAGACUCGUGAAGCUGCCAAGAGGAACCGACGCAGGUAGACACAAAUCGAAUUAAAUCGAUUGGAUUUGUAAUAUUGAAAUUGGGAAAGAGUCAGUGUGAGUCAAAAAGACAAUAGAAUCAUGUUACAUAAAAUGUUUUUUUUUUACAGGCCUAGGUUCUCCUCUUCGUCAUUCUCUAAUAAUAAAGAUGCUCCUCCCAAAAAAGCCCGCGAAGAAGAUUCCGACAACUGGGAGAUGCCGGAGGGCGAUCUUCCAUUCUUCUGAUGCGGCAAGGAAAGGAAAGUUCCGAC